UAUGUAAAUCCGACGUGUGGGCCUUUCCUCCAUAUUUCCUGAUAACCCCCUACAGAAAUAGACAAACACCAAAACUCGUGGAAUUCUAUCAGAUAAAACCCUAAGUCUGGGUGUUGGUUGCAUUUGGAUCCUUUUCUUUAUUUAUUUGAUGAUUAUAUUUGGUACUUAAGGACCGUCAACAACUCCCCCAAGCUUACCUCUUGCUCGUCCCUAAGCAAGGAUGGACUCAAGAGUUUCUGUAGUGGUUUCAUGCCUUAAAGGUAGACAUGCGUUCAAACAAGAUCUUAUCUCUGAGUUAGGGUAAACUGUUAAGAUUUAGAUUUACUCAUAUUACCUUUCACCAUGGGGCUUGCAACCGUCACUUGUGUCUUGAGCAGUUAAAAGAUAGAACGGUCAAGUCAAGCGCCAUGUCUCUUCUUCUUGAUCAACUAUAGCUCUGGAGUUUUUGCAGAUUUUCAAAUAAAACUCAGAGAUUCCUUGUACGACUCUCUCAAAUUUCUCUUUUGUGGUAUUUCUGGAUCCUUACCAAGGCAGUAAUGGUAUAUGCCUUCUCUCAAAGUAUGUGGUAUUUUUGGUAUAAGGCAUAGUGACAUUGCUUUCUCUCUCACCCUACUCUAAUAAGGUUUUGAUAUCUAGAGCUCAUAGGUGGGAGACAGCUAAUACAUACUUACAAGACAUUUAUUGCAUAGUCAAACCAUGGAUCCAAAGAAACAAGUCAAUAAGUCAAAUCAAGAUGUGCAUGUGUGGCGAAUGAAUGGUGAUGAUGGUGAUAAUGGUGAAAACAAUGGUGAAAGUCUAAUUCUACUUUUGCUCUUUUGAGGGGAUACAUACCUUUCUUGCACUUUGAAGCUUUUUGAGGGGUAUGAGAUGCUCUAUAUUUUCUUUUUUUUCUUUUCUCUCGGGUGGGUAUCUUGUACCCCUAAUUCUACUGUCAGACACUUGUCCAUUUUUACCUCUCGUCUCACUUUUUCUUUUCUUCGAGGUUCCGGGCACUUGCCCCUUUUUAUUUCCUCGUAUUCACUUUUUUUCAGAGCACUCACCCUUCUGGAAUAAUGUAGCAAGUGGUAGUAACCAAAAUAUCUCGAGCAUUUAUUUCACGGGGAAUAAAAGGGAUAGGAUAAUGUUUUUGGCUAUUCUCUCCUGGAUAGGAGUAGAAUAAUUUUGGGUGAAUCUGGAGAUGGAAAUGAGUGGAUGUAUGUGGAUGCGUACUUCCGGAGUAGAAGCAGCAUGUAUGAGUGAACGUGCAAGUGAAUCUUGAUUUUAACCGCAUGACAAGCUCCUAAGGGUCUACACAGCUUGACCACACUCAAUGCUCAUAAGUAGUAAAAAGUAAAUGUACGGUUCAUAGUCUAGUAAGCAUGUAUAUAUGGCUGUGGUAGGAUUUUAAACUCUCAUCAUACAGGAACUCAUCAUGCAACAUUUUAAAGAUUUUCAAAGAUAAAAUUCUCCAGAAUUCUAGCAUCUCUACGAACAGAUAAAUAGCAGCUCAACCUUCCCAUAUCAUAUCCGUUAACGACUUAGACUUUAGAUCAAGUACUCUUCCCACAAGUUCAGGUUUAGAGCAAAUCUUAAUUCAUAACAGUCAUGCCUAAACUUGAGAGAGAUUUCAAUUUUGAGAACUAGUCAUGGCAGAGCAACUAUUCAUCAUUUCUAUGUGAGAGCUUAUCAUGAGGGUUCAUAGCAAACUUCAUUUAUUUAUUUAUUUAUUUAGCAAACUAAGCAUAUAUAUAUAUAUAAGCAUAAAAUCUUUAUUUGGGUUUUUAUGAUUAUGCAUCUUUUUAUUAUUUGAGUAAAGUAUAAAGGCGAGUAGAAACACUUAGCUGGAUAAAUGGGGGUGCUCUCCCCCAAGCUGGAUUUCAACGUAAUUUCUUCUGAUGUAGCUAGCAGGCGGCAGGGGUGUAUUUGAAUGUCGACAGCACCCUGACAGCAAUUUGGAUGUCCUUCGUCUGCUAGUCUUCUUUGAUCCUUGAAUUCUGUGGAGCUCAAAUAGACAACAAAGCUUUGUGAAAUUGGUUAAGUGUUAGCAUAAAAUCUCUUAGCCAUUAUCAUGUAGAGCUUCCUCUAAUAAAUAUUACUCUCUUUGGUAGGAUCAUAAAUUUAUUUUUAUAUUUUUAUUGUAAGAUGAAAACAUAUUUAUUUUAUGCCACCACAGUCAAUAUACCUAUGGGUUUUAAACCACAAGUCUUCUCUCAUGGGGCUUUAGAUUUUAUGAUGCAGUGCAAUGAACAAAUUUUUUUUCUAAUGCUAAUGUGGAAAAGUAAAUAUGCUAAUGCAAGUGAUGGAAUAAAAAAGGAAAAGGAAUGCAGAAAAGACAA
rnacentral:lncRNA from 1 species